AGUAGGGAAUUGUUCGCAAUGGGCGCAAGCCUGACGACGCAACGCCGCGUGGAGGAUGAAGACUUUCGGGUCGUAAACUCCUUUCGACCGAGAUGAAUACUCUCUGACCUAAUACGUUUGAGAGCUGACAGUAUCGAGGGAAGAAGCCCCGGCUAACUCCGUGCCAGCAGCCGCGGUAAUACNNNNNNNNCAAGCGUUGUUCGGAAUUACUGGGCGUAAAGGGUUCGUAGGUGGCUUUCUAAGUCAGACGUGAAAUCCCUCAGCUUAACUGGGGAACUGCGUCUGAGACUGGCGAGCUUGAGUGCAGGAGAGGAACGCGGAAUUCCAGGUGUAGCGGUGAAAUGCGUAGAUAUCUGGAGGAACACCGGUGGCGAAGGCGGCGUUCUGGACUGUUACUGACACUGAGGAACGAAAGCCAGGGGAGCAAACGGGAUUAGAUACCCCGGUAGUCCUGGCCCUAAACGAUGAAUGCUUGGUGUGGCGGGUAUCGAUCCCUGCCGUGCCGAAGUUAACGCGUUAAGCAUUCCGCCUGGGGAGUACGGUCGCAAGGCU
rnacentral:rRNA from 1 species